rnacentral:rRNA from 1 species
AACGAACGCCGGCGGCAGGCUUAACACAUGCAAGUCGAACGCCCCGCAAGGGGAGUGGCAGACGGGUGAGUAACGCGUGGGAACAUACCCUUUCCUGCGGAAUAGCUCUGGGGAACUGGAAUUAAUACCGCAUACGCCCUACGGGGGAAAGAUUUAUCGGGGAAGGAUUGGCCCGCGUUGGAUUAGCUAGUUGGUGGGUUAAAGGCCUACCAAGGCGACGAUCCAUAGCUGGUCUGAGAGGAUGAUCAGCCACAUUGGGACUGAGACACGGCCCAAACUCCUACGGGAGGCAGCAGUGGGGAAUAUUGGACAAUGGGCGCAAGCCUGAUCCAGCCAUGCCGCGUGAGUGAUGAAGGCCUUAGGGUUGUAAAGCUCUUUCACCGAUGAAGAUAAUGACGGUAGUCGGAGAAGAAGCCCCGGCUAACUUCGUGCCAGCAGCCGCGGUAACAC